GCCCCCGUGGCGGAACCGGUAGACGCGGUAGAUUCAAAAUCUGCUGUCCAUUGGGCGUGCCCGUUCGAGUCGGGCCGGGGGCACCA
rnacentral:tRNA from 1 species